AUUGAACGCUGGCGGCAGGCCUAACACAUGCAAGUCGAGCGAGUGGCGGACGGGUGAGUAAUGUCUGGGGAAAUGCCAGAUGGAGGGGGAUAACUACUGGAAACGGUGACUACUACCGCAUACUAUCGGCUGAACCCAGAUGGGAGUAGCUAGUAGGUGGGGUAAAGGCUCACCUGGGCGACGAUCCCUAGCUGGUCUGAGCGGAUGACGAGCCACACUGGAACUGAGACAGCGCCCAGACUCCUACGGGAGGCAGCAGUGGGGAAUAUUGCACAAUGGGCGAAAGCCUGAUGCAGCCAUGCCGCGUGUAUGAAGAAGGCCUUAGGGUUGUAAAGUACUUUCAGCGGGGAGGCGUUACCCGCAGAAGAAGCACCGGCUAACUCCGUGCCAGCCGCCGCGGUAAUAC
rnacentral:rRNA from 1 species